UACGGAGGAUGCGAGCGUUACCCGGAUUUAUUGGGUUUAAAGGGUGCGUAGGCGGGCUGUUAAGUCAGCGGUAAAAGCCCGGGGCUCAACCCCGGCGAGCCGUUGAAACUGGCUGUCUUGAGAUGUCGAGAGGUAUGCGGAAUGCGCAGUGUAGCGGUGAAAUGCUUAGAUAUUGCGCAGAACUCCGAUUGCGAAGGCAGCAUACCGGCGGCGAUCUGACGCUGAGGCACGAAAGCGUGGGUAUCGAACAGG
rnacentral:rRNA from 1 species